rnacentral:rRNA from 1 species
AUUGAACGCUGGCGGCAGGCUUAACACAUGCAAGUCGAACGAGUGGCGGACGGGUGAGUAAUGUAUGGGAAUCUAGCUUAUGGAGGGGGAUAACUACGGGAAACUGUAGCUAAUACCGCGUACCAUAGGAUGAGCCCAAGUGGGAUUAGGUAGUUGGUGAGGUAAAGGCUUACCAAGACGACGAUCCCUAGCUGGUCUGAGAGGAUGACCAGCCACACUGGGACUGAGACACGGCCCAGACUCCUACGGGAGGCAGCAGUGGGGAAUAUUGCGCAAUGGGCGCAACCUGAUGCAGCCAUGCCGCGUGUAUGAAGAAGGCCUUCGGGUUGUAAAGUUCUUUCAGUAGGGAGGCGUUACCGACAGAAGAAGCACCGGCUAACUCCGUGCCAGCAGCCGCGGUAAUAC